CUGCAACUUCAUUGUGCGGGGCCCUUUCCAUCCCAAAAAAGCAUAGAGAGUAAUCUCGGCUUGCUCACUUACUCCCUCAUGCUCCAACUCUUUGAUUAUUGGCCCGGAGUUGGGAUUAGUUUCGGUCUCCUCAACCGCUCCUCCCUCGAUCAAGAAGAGUUGUGGUGUUUUACAUUUAUGGCCAGGGAUGAAUCGAUCAUUACAAUUGAAGCAAAGACCAUUUUCUCGCCUCUGCUACAUCUCUUCCCACGAUAUGCGCUUAACUGGAAAGCUAACAACUUGCCUUGGUGCUGUAGGUGUUGCUACAGGUGGUGGAGCUGUGAUAAAUCGCGUUUGCAGGAUAAUUCGCGUCACUUCUACUCGUGCUUGCCUUCUUUUCCUCAUGAGCUAGUCAUCCUUCAUCUUAGCUACCCAUAUAGCAUCACGUAGAGUCUUCGGUUUUAGCCAUUCGUACUUCAUCUGCGAUAUCCUCAUGCAGAUCUCCAAGGAAGGUGCCAACAAGAGCCAAUUGGGACGAGUAAACUUGAUUUGCCAACCUUUCAAACUCACGUUGAUAAUCCCUAAGUGUUCUAGUUUGUUUUACUCUGGAUAUUGCUUCGUCAAAGCACUCACACUCUGUAGGGCCAAAACGAGUCAUGAGUUCAUGCUCAAAUAAACUCUAGGUAAUCUCCAUCCUUUCAUCUCUUUGUACCCUCUUGAGCCAUUGCCACCGUUAGUUGGCUUCCCCCUCUAAGUGGAAGGAUGCCAAAGCAACCUUCUGCUCCUUUGCAAUUUCCUGAAAUUCAAAGUAUUGAGAGACUCGACUAAGCCACUUGUUCUGAUCAUCACCAGAGAAUUUUGGGAGCAAU
rnacentral:lncRNA from 1 species